rnacentral:ncRNA from 1 species
ACAAGCAAGAGAUUUGGAGCUGGAUUACUGGUGCAUGGCCAUUCCUAGUUGGCUGAGCAAUUUGUCUAGUUAAUUCCAAUAACAAAUGAGACUCUGGCAUGCUAAUUAGUUGCACAAUAUUCAGUCUCCUAACUUCUUAGAAGGACAAGGGGCAUUUACCUACCAGAGACUGAGGAAUAAUAGGUCUGUGAUGCUUUUAGAU